AUUGAACGCUGGCGGCAGGCCUAACACAUGCAAGUCGAGCGGAUGAGAAGAGCUUGCUCUUCGAUUCAGCGGCGGACGGGUGAGUAAUGCCUAGGAAUCUGCCUGGUAGUGGGGGACAACGUUUCGAAAGGGACGCUAAUACCGCAUACGUCCUACGGGAGAAAGCAGGGGACCUUCGGGCCUCGCGCUAUCAGAUGAGCCUAGGUCGGAUUAGCUUGUUGGUGAGGUAAUGGCUCACCAAGGCGACGAUCCGUAACUGGUCUGAGAGGAUGAUCAGUCACACUGGAACUGAGACACGGUCCAGACUCCUACGGGAGGCAGCAGUGGGGAAUAUUGGACAAUGGGCGAAAGCCUGAUCCAGCCAUGCCGCGCGUGUGAAGAAGGUCUUCGGAUUGUAAAGCACUUUAAGUUGGGAGGAAGGGCAGCUAGCGAAUACCUGGUUGUCUUGACGUUACCGACAGAAUAAGCACCGGCUAACUCUGUGCCAGCAGCCGCAGUAA
rnacentral:rRNA from 1 species